rnacentral:rRNA from 1 species
UACGGGGGGUCCAAGCGUUGUUCGGAAUCAUUGGGCGUAAAGCGGGUGUAGGCGGCCUAAUAAGUCAGAAGUGAAAGCCCCGGGCUCAACCUGGGAAGUGCUUUUGAAACUAUUAGGCUUGAGUAUGGUAGAGGAAAGUGGAAUUCCAGAUGUAGUGGUGAAAUACGUAGAUAUCUGGAGGAACACCGGUGGUGAAGACG